rnacentral:rRNA from 1 species
UACGAAGGGGGCUAGCGUUGUUCGGAAUCACUGGGCGUAAAGCGCACGUAGGCGGAUUGUUAAGUCAGGGGUGAAAUCCCGAGGCUCAACCUCGGAACUGCCUUUGAUACUGGCGAUCUAGAGUAGGAGAGAGGCGAGUGGAAUUGCGAGUGUAGAGGUGAAAUUCGUAGAUAUUCGCAAGAACACCGGUGGCGAAGGCGGCUCGCUGGCUUGUUACUGACGCUGAGAUGCGAAAGCGUGGGGAGCAAACAGG